UCUGCCUUCCAUGGUUCUCUUUUCUCUUAAUUUCACAACGGUCCUCUUAUUUGUACAGAUCAGAUGGCAGCUGGUGAAACUGGAAGAGAGAUAGGAAGCAGUGGUGUGCAGUUGACCCACUGCAAACCUGAGAGCCUCGCCAUCACUCCUCUGCCCUCCCAGGCUUCUCCCUCUCCUCCAGGGACUCCAGCUCAGUCCCUCUGAGCUUCCCUUCCUGCCUAUACCUCCAGGAGACUCCCUCCCUCCCAACCAGUUAGGGCGGAGGAAAGAGUUUUGGAUCAUUGCUCAAGUCUUUCUGCAUCCCAAAGGAGAUGGACCCAACAGAAACCAUAGGCCUCCUCUUCCUGUGGCCCCUUGUUUCCCUCCAUGCCAGAGGAGGCAGCUGUAACACAGGCCUUGGAUCUGCUCUUCUUGUGUCCGGUCAUACCCACGACAGCCAGAGAUGGUGACCUACAAGUGGCUGGACCUCAAUCUGUCACAUGCCCUACUGCCAUGCUGUGGCUGUCAGCAACUCACCUGUCUGUGGACCAUCAGGGAAAGAUGUGGACGCAAUACCAACUAUGAAGGACCUGCAGACACACACGGGAGGAAAAGCUGUACGGAGAAGGAGCUCCCUUCUUCAGCAUUCAAGGCUCAGCAGGAGUUGAGAUGUUGGGCAUCUAGCAUCUUGCAUUUGGACGCGUGAGACCCAGAGGAAUGGAGUUGGUAGAACACAAAGCAUGCGCAGGGUGAGGGCCCCCUUAUCCCUGCUUGGGAUGGAAAACACCCCAGUGGUACCUGGCACUUCUGCACUCCCAAGACACAAUGAGUCCUGCUGCUCCUCGGAUGGGGCUGGCUGCCAGAUAUCCAGUGGAGACACAGUGACUGACAGGACGCUGGGACAAAACCAAGCAUUAGAUGGCAAUUACCAACAGAGCACACUUUCCGAGCAGGGCUGUGGAGAUCCUGUUCGCCUUGCUGUCCCUCUCCAAAAAACUUCCCUUUCACCAUCCACCACCCUUCAAAUGCUUCGCCACUCCUGCCUGCCCCACAACUGCCAUUACACGCCACAUCCCCACAUUUGGCCAGAGCCCAGACAAGAUCUACACUGGAUUGAUAACCUCUCUGUGUGUCCCCUGGCACCUAGGGCUGCAGUUCUGGUCCACAUGGUAGCCAUGGGCUGACCAGCUUUUUUCUACAUGACCAGAAGCUCCCUGUGAAUGUGACCACUUACCCAUACCCUGAGAACCUGUCUUCAUUAGGUUCUCAGUGACUGUUGUAGGUUAAACGAAUCCUCGCCAUGUUUCUGCCUCCUGCGGGAGGACAGAUGAUCUGUUUUAUUUAUAUCCCUUUUCAUUUUCCACAUCUCAGAUAACAGGGCCACCUCCCACCUCCCCAGACUGAAAGAAACAAGCGAGGCUGUUUUCCAAAAAACACUUUGGGUUGUAAAAGAUCAGCUACAGAAAAUUACUUGGCAAAUAAAUAUUUGAUAAAUGUGCUUGCAAAUUA